GCAAUUCUUUCCAUUUCUAUUCCCUUCAGAUUUCUUUUCCAUGGACUGAAUUUUUCUAUAUAUGUGUCCUUUUUGUCGCCGGCCACCACCAAGGACCAGUUUUAUGGGUAGUGAAUUAAACCCUCUACGUUGCAUAGCAUAUAGCACAAAGGCAAUUCCUCCCAUUUCUAUUCCCUUCUGAUUUCUUUUCCGUGGACUGAAUUUUUCUAUAUAUGUGUGCUUUUUGUCGCCAGUCAGCACCAAGGACCAGUUUUAUGGGUAGUGAGUUCAACCCUCUACGUUGCAUAGCAUAUAGCGCAAAGGCAAUUCCUCCCAUUCCUAUUCCCUUCUGAUUUCUUUUCCGUGCAGUGGACUUUUCUAUAUAUAUGUGUCCUUUUUGUCGCCGGCCACCACCAAGGACCAGUUUUAUGGGUAGUGAGUUCAACCCUCUACGUUGCAUAGCAUAUAGUACAAAGGCAAUACCUCCCAUUCCUAUUCCCUUCAGAUUUCUUUUCCAUGGACUGAAUUUUUCUAUAUAUGUGUCCUUUUUGUCGCCGGCCACCACCAAGGACCAGUUUUAUGGGUGGUGAAUUAAACCCUCUACGUUGCAUAGCAUAUAGUACAAAGGCAAUUCCUCCCAUUCCUAUUCCCUUCUGAUUUCUUUUCCGUGGACUGAAUUUUUCUAUAUAUGUGUGCUUUUUGUCGCCAGUCACCACCAAGGACCAGUUUUAUGGGUGUGAGUUCAACCCUCUACGUUGCACAGCAUAUGGUACAAAGGCAAUUCCUCCCAUUCCUAUUCCCUUCUGAUUUUUUUUCCAUGGACUGAAUUUUUCUAUAUAUGUGUGCUUUUUGUCGCCAGUCAGCAAACAUGAGUAGCCUGUUUUCAUUGGCUUCGUCCUUGGUGUCAGUUUCUAUCGUGCUGAAUGCGUAACGAUAGUUUUUUGAGUGCGUGUACAUCUGCGGCCUCACUAUAUACCGCUCCACACCAUCGCUUCGCUCUAAUCGCCGUCUCCCCCGCUGCAAUUAGUUGAUUUUUCCCUCUAAAUCUCCGUAUUAUGUAAUUUUAUACCACCUUACCUAACCUCUACACCUCUUGUAAUCAGCCAGCCUUUUUACACAAAUAUCCAUUGCUCGCAUCCUGGCGGCAACACAGGGACCAUAUUCUCAAUCGUUUCGCCGCUUACACCCUCACAAAAAGGAGGCAAUGUGAGACUGUAUAAGGAAGGAAUGAAAGAAAAUGUGAAGGUUAAGAGGAUAAAAGAAAGGGAAAAGUGGAUGAUGACAGGCUACGUAAAGGGAAGGAAAAUAUGGUUAAUAUAAUAGAGAUGAUAGUCUCCCAUUUGACAGGGUUUUUGAAGGGGUAUUCGGCAUUUCCAGAGGUACUUUUAUGACCCUGGGGAUAGUUUGACCCCUCUUCUGUACCAUAAUCUUGAUAGACACACAUGAAAACCAGAUUAACCUCCAUUUUCGCCUUUGAAAAUAGAUGAAAAUAGAUGUGGAAGCGUCCGAGAAUAUGAACCAGCUCUCCUCUAUUCUCAGCUGCCUCCUUGCCGGCUGUGCCUCGUCUUAUCUUCCGACAUAUUAAACAUUAUCUUCUUCCCGGUAGUUGCGGGUAUCAUGUUUCUUAAAGGCCCAUCUAACCGAAUUAAUGAGAAAAAAUCAUUACUCACGCAAACCAUUUCAUAAUAUAUAUCAACGCAUUUGUGAUUAGUUUAUGCAUCAUCUAUUUUGGGGGUUUAUAUCAGGGUAAAAAUCUGGCCCGUCGCUGGUACACGGUAAAGCCACAAAUUUGGCCCGUCGCUGCUACCGGGUUUUAACAUUCAUCUUAGAGAUAACAUUCAGAGUCUGUAUAGGUUUUCCUCCCAAUGGCUCAGUAAUACCAUGUUAUCCAAGAAUUUAGAGUUAAGGGUAUUCCCCAUCUGCAUAUUCUACUUCCUUAGAUGGCCCACUCUGAUCUCUUUUGAGGAAGCCAAAGAUGAUUCUCAAGAAAUUGUAUCGCGUCUCCAAGCGCUAUUUAUUAUCUGAUUCUUUUUUCGCUUAGUUGUAAUGGUUAAGGAGAUUGUCCGGGGUAGUGUGAAGAUCAGGGGAUUUUCGUGAAUCUGAAGUAUGUUUUGGAUGGCUGUGCUGUGAUGCGCACCGCCAAGCUGAAAAGCACUUGAACAAAAGAUGUGAAAAAAUACUCAUUUAAAAAAAUCAACACUAGGGAGUUAUCGAUUGACUAAUACUAAUGCAAAAAAAAGCUUCACCUUACAUGUUGCCUGAAAUAAGGUGUUGAUCAGUGUUUAGAAAUUCCCUUUUGUCUGUGGGGAAAUAUUUUUGUUUCCUACUGAGGUAGUCCGGAAGAUAUUUGUUACAUAUGUGAUUCAUUACCCUGAAGAAGAAAAUCUAAUUGAUACUGGUAAUGGUAGUAGUAGUAGUAGUAGUAGUAGUAGUAGUAAUGGUAGUAGUAGUAGUAGUAGUAGUAGUAGUAGUAGUAGUAGUAGUAGUAGUAGUAGUAGUAGUAGUAGUAGUAGUAGUAGUAGUAGUAAUGGUAGUAGUAGUAGUAGUAGUAGUAGUAGUAGUAGUAGUAGUAGUAGAAAUUGUAUUAGUAAUUGUAGUAAUAUCAGAAGUCAAUCAAUUUUAUUUUGUAAUACGUAUAUAAAUAUAUUACAUAUUCUUUACAUAUUGUGCAUUGUAGUAGUAGUAGUAGUAGUAGUAGUAGUAGUAGUAGUAGUAAUAGUAGUCAUUGUAUCAAUUUUAUUUUGUAAUAUGUACAUAAUUAUAUAUUGUGUAAGAAUGAUAAAAAUGUUACUCAUAUCACAAUCUUGAUGAAAUAGCAUAAUAGCAAUGAUGACAAAUUGGCAAACACUAUAAUGAACUACAUUAACACAUAUUUGGAGACUAAAAGUGUAAAACAUCAAACGUAAAACUAAGAUACAUUAUACUGCAAAUAAAGCUGAUCAGAUA